UACGUAGGGGGCUAGCGUUGUCCGGAUUUAUUGGGCGUAAAGAGCGUGUAGGCGGCCAGGUAGGUCUGCUGUGAAAACUCGAGGCUUAACCUCGAGAUGUCGGCGGAAACCAUCUGGCUAGAGUCCGGAAGAGGAGAAUGGAAUUCCCGGUGUAGCGGUGAAAUGCGCAGAUAUCGGGAAGAACACCCGUGGCGAAGGCGGGUCUCUGGACAGUUCCUGACGCUGAGGCACGAAGGUCAGGGGAGCAAACGGG
rnacentral:rRNA from 1 species